CACCAAAUUAAAUCAUAUAUACAAAAUAUAUAAGUAUAAAUACAAUACAUGGAUAGAUAAUGUGUGCAAGUAAAUUCACAAACAAGACCUGUCCUGUGCCGGCCAUUGUGUUUGCAGCCCUAAGGUUGGAGAUUCCAACUUUAAAAAGGUCUUUUCUCUUCAAAAAGACGUUCGAACCCAAUGUCUCUGUUAUGCCUUAUUAGAUAUUUUCCCCAAAAAAACUAACUCAAACUCGGCCGUAAUAAUUUUUUUUCGUAUAAUAUUUUUAAGUGAAAUAUUGUACGAAAAAAAGUUAUUAUGGCCAAGUUUGUGCUAGUUUUUUUCUUUUUAUGAGACUUUUUAGCUGUUUUAAUUUUUGAAUUUUUUAUUUUAGUACUUUUUUACACCGUUUAGUUGGAAUUUUUUAUUUUUUUUAAAAACUAAAAAAUCUUGUGUGAAUUUAAAUAAAAAUUCACUAAAGACAGAUAAUUUAGCUAAUUUAUCAAGUUAAAAUAACAUGAAAUUUUUUAUAACUCCAAUUCCUCUUGUCAAAAAAUAAAAAAAGUACAAAAUUUUGAUCUAAAAGUUAACAAAUUUUUCACAAAACUAAUAGAAAAAAAACUACACAAAACUAAAGGAAAAAAAAUGAGAGACAGAAAGAGUAGUGGCGAGAGAGAGCAAUGGGGGCAAGGAUAUUUUCUUACGGGGACGGGGGAGGGGGGGUAUCAGGGGAACGAAAGCACUCUCUUGGUCUAAACCUUCACAAUUAAAAUAGUUAAUUUGUUUGUCUUUAGUGAUUUAUUUUCAAAGUUGCAGGUUAGAAAAGACUUUUCUCAUUAAAAGAAACCAAAAAAGUAUAAAAUUUAAUCAAACAGUAAAAAAAUUACUGAAACGAAAAAACUUGAAAACUAAAUAACUAUAUAAAAAAACAAAGCAAAACUAGUUGAAACAUAGGUUAUAGUGGACCAAGGAUGAUGUAGAUCUAUAAUCACCAAAAGUUCAAGUUUAAUUGGUCUAAACCUUCGCAAUUAGGUUGAAGGCUAUACAACAAAAGGCAGAGUAGAGUUUUUAGCACGAACCGGAAGAUAAAUAAAGAAAGUCAACUGUCCCAUUUAAAGAUUGCAAAUUAACAGACAAACUUGGGGGCCGAGCAGCUGCAAUGCACACCUAAAAAAAUAGUAUACGUGAUGCGUUCACUUAUAAUAUUAUUACAUGGGUUGUAAUAUUUAUGACAAUAGAUCGUAAGAAAAAAAAAAUUAUAAUUUUUCUUUAUUAGAAAAAGUUAUAUAACAUUUACUACAAUAAUGCAUAACAAUAUCCAUAACUAUUUUUAAAAUACAUGUCAUAAUAUUUCAUCACAGCCAAUUAUAAUAUAUAUCAUAUUAAUCAUAAAAUACACCACAACCUUGUAACAUUUUAUCAUACACGCGUGGGUACUAUAAUUGUUUCCCAAAAUGUUUACCAUGCGGCAAGGUGUUGUACUAUAAUUUUUUCCCAAAAAAUUGUAACAUAACAAUUGUUUACUUUUUUCUAUUUUGAAAGUUGUAUCAGAAUAUAAGACACAGUUUAUGCUUCUAUUUAUGGGCUAAAAAUAACUUAUAAAAGCUAAAAUGAAAACUUUUUAACUUCUACUUUUAAAUAAGAAAUUCUAACAAAAGUUUAAAUAUAUCAAAAAUACCCGUGCUAUGGCGUAUGGUCCAAGAUAAAGAACUUUAUUUUAGGAGUAAUUGUAUUUUACUCCCCUGUGGUUAACUCCAACAACACAUAACUCAAUUAUAGUUUAAAAACUUACACAUAACCUCAUAAAAAAAUUUAUGAAAUUAAAAACUCAAAUUUGACUAAAUUUUCUAGUCCAAAUUAGGCCUAAGUACUGCUUGAGAUUGUUUUCAAAAAACAUAAGCAACUCAGAAGCUAUUUUUUUUUUCUUUUUACUUUAUCUUGGAGUGAAAUGCACUAACUGUCAAAUAUUGAAUCAAGUCCACAUUAAUCAUUGAAGUUACGUGUAUUAGUAAAAGCAAUUGAAAAUGAUUUUUUGAGAGAGAACAAUUUCUACCUGUAAUGGGCCAAAAUGAGUUUGGUUACUGGCUGGCUUAGGGCUCAUCGUUGGGUUGUACUGCCUCACUUUGGACUUGUCUUUGGAACGAACGGGCUCAAUCCAUGAAAAUUGGGCCCAAGGUAGAUGUCUGUGUACGAGGCCCAGGAGGGACUGAUUUGAGGGCGGUGUCCCUGAAAUCAGUGGGAAGAGGCAGAUCUAACGAGAAGUCUUCUACAACUAAGAAAUAUCUAUUUUCUACUUGGGAUGAGGAGAAUCGCGGUGAUCUCGCUGAAAGAGCUGGAUACGGAGUAGGCAAGUCGAAUUGGAUUAGGAUUUAAUGAGUUAGCAAAUAAUAGGAGGAUUUAUAGGUUCUUUGGUAUGCAAUUACAAACCCUAACUCUCUAGCUUUCUUAUUCUCCUUCUUUCAUGCUCUUACUCUUAUAUCGGAGGAUUUUCUCGGCUAACUCCGGCCGGAAAGCCUCAAUG
rnacentral:lncRNA from 1 species